CAUGGAUUUGAGCCGUAUUUCUAUAUCAACUAUUCCCCCAAAAUCGCCCCUGACGAUAUAUCUAGGUUUCAUCGAAUUCUUGAGGUAAUGUUUUGACUUUAUUUCUUGAACAGCUCAGAUGUCUUUGUUUUUGUUAAGUUGCAUUACUUUAAUUUGUUAUGUCUUUUCAGUUUCAUUAACAUUCGAUAACAUGCAGGAGCAUGAAUUACUUUCUUGAAUGAAAUGCCUACAUGCAGGGAAAUGCAUUAUAUGGUUGAUUAUCACAUAAUUUCUUCGACGAUAAAUGUUCUCCCACUUCUUUCAUGUCUUUCUUUGUGUAUCAUUGUACUGGUCUAAUUUACUCUUUGUAAGGACUAUAUUUGGAGAGCAGUUCUCAUGUGUCUUGCACCUUGCAUAUCAAUGUGUACUGCAAUGUUUCCAUCAUGUGGCUUAUGCCUAAUAAUGUUUUAUUCCUCUUCUAUGCUUCCCCAAUCUGUCAGGCAUUCUUGAAAAAGGCAUACAAAUUGAUGGCCUUCCAAAUUUAUAUUUUUGGUGUCCUGAAAUUGAGUUCACCUAAUGAAAGCCAGUAUCUAUUGUAAAUGUGAAUUGCAGGCACUAUAUAUAUGUCUCCUCUUACCCUAUUUGUCAAAAUUAUGGGGAAUUCCAUUUGGUUAACUGCCAAACUAUCUUAAAGAUGGUGUAGCUUGCUUUCUAAACAUCGGUACCUUAUCAACUGCCAUGGGUAAUGAAAAGGGAAACAGUUAUUGGGAAAAAGAAUUGCCACCAAAUUUUGACAAAAGUGGGACUGAGAAAUUUAUUCGUGCCAAGUAUGAGGGAAGGCUGGGUUCCGAGAAAUGCAAAACAACCAACUUCUGAACCA